rnacentral:rRNA from 1 species
UUUCGCAAUGCCCGAAAGGGUGACGAAGCGACGCCGCGUGGGUGAGGAAGGCCUUCGGGUUGUAAAGCCCUGUCAGGAGUUAUGAAAUGUAAGUGCGCUAAUAUCGUGCUUAUUUGACAAAGGCUCCAAAGGAAGCCACGGCUAACUCUGUGCCAGCAGCCGCGGUAAUACAGAGGCGGCGAGCGUUGUUCGGAAUUAUUGGGCGUAAAGAGCACGUAGGUGGGUUUGCAAGUCAGAUGUGAAAGCCUUCUGUCCAACGGAAGAAUUGCAUCUGAAACUGCUAAUCUUGAGUAUAGGAGGGGAGAAUGGAACUUCUGGUGGAGCGGUGAAAUGCGUAGAUAUCAGAAGGAACGCCGGCGGCGAAAGCGAUUCUCUGGCCUAUUACUGACACUCAGUGUGCGAAAGCUAGGGGAGCAAACGGGAUUAGAUACCCCGGUAGUCCUAGCCGUAAACGAUGGGCACUAAGUAGAGGGGUUUUA